rnacentral:lncRNA from 1 species
CUAAUCAUAUAAUUUUUGAAUUAUGUGAUUCAAAUAGGAAAUGUGAGUUAUCCAACAAUGUUCUUUUUCAAAAAUUUUUUUUUUUUUUUUUUUUUUUUUAAAAAAAAAAAAAAAAAAAAAAAAGGAAUCCUAAAACCUAGGAAAUGCCAUUCUCGACAUGGGCCUUGGGGAAUAAUUUAUGACUAAGUCCUCAAAAGCAGUUGCAAGAAAAACAAAAACUGACAAUUAAACUGAAGUGCUUCUGCACAGCAAAGGAGACUAUCAACAGAGCAAACAGACAAC